GAUGAACGCUGGCGGCGUGCCUAAUACAUGCAAGUCGAGCGAACGGACGAGAAGCUUGCUUUUCUGAUGUUAGCGGCGGACGGGUGAGUAACACGUGGAUAACCUACCUAUAAGACUGGGAUAACUUCGGGAAACCGGAGCUAAUACCGGAUAAUAUUUUGAACCGCAUGGUUCAAAAGUGAAAGACGGUCUUGCUGUCACUUAUAGAUGGGUCCGCGCUGCAUUAGCUAGUUGGUAAGGUAACGGCUUACCAAGGCAACGAUGCAUAGCCGACCUGAGAGGGUGAUCGGCCACACUGGAACUGAGACACGGUCCAGACUCCUACGGGAGGCAGCAGUAGGGAAUCUUCCGCAAAGGGCGAAAGCCUGACGGAGCAACGCCGCGUGAGUGAUGAAGGUCUUCGGAUCGUAAAACUCUGUUAUUAGGGAAGAACAUAUGUGUAAGUAACUGUGCACAUCUUGACGGUACCUAAUCAGAAAGCCACGGCUAACUACGUG
rnacentral:rRNA from 1 species